UGUACCCAUGCUGGGUGAAGGGGCAUCUGGUUAGUGGUGCCCAUCAUAUAGCAGCAGCCAGGCACAAAACCAUUUCUUGCUUAUCCCAGCAUGGUUUUAGGUCUGUGCCCUGUGCCCUCGCUCGGGGUGUGUGU